rnacentral:lncRNA from 13 species
UUGCAGGAGAGUGUGAGAGAGUGUGCGUGUGUGUGUGUGCGCGCGUGUGUGUGUGCGCACGCGCGUGCAUGUCUGUGUGUGCGCGCGCAUGAGGUGGGAGGUGUUAGUCAUAGGAAUUUCAGAGUUAUUCCUUGUGAGGGGAGUGCCUUGUUUCUAGGAACCAAAACAAAAACAUCUCAGCAGCUUUCAGGUCAAGUUGCCACAGCCUCAACCUUUUGGUUCUUUUCUCAUGUGGAUGUCCUGCUUUCUGACCUGAAUUUCUCUUUCUGCCUUCCAUCCCUCCAUUCACUGGACACCACACUGAAAACAGGAAUCUUUAUGCCUGGUAAUUAUCUUCCUGGACAAAAUGGCAACAGAGUGCGGGUGAGUGUAAAAACAGGAAGUGGACGAGGCGCUGGUGGACGAGGCGCUAGACUGCGUUCACAUUUUGCCACCUGGAGACAGACACGUGCUCAUCAGGACAUUGCUCAACACACAGAACCCAUGGUGCAAGCUAGAUUGUCUCCCCCAGUCAGGAAGGCAGCCUGGCUGUUUCCUGUAAAUACUGGUACAGGCUGGCUGGCAGCUCACAUGUGGUAUUGCUGAACCUGGCGGCAGGUAGCCUAGUGAUUAGAGCGUUGGGGCAGUAACUGAAAGGUUGCUGGAUUGACACCCCGAGCUGAACAAGGUACAAAUCUGUUGUUCUGCCCCUGAGCAAGGCAGUUAACCCACUGUUCCUGGGCGCCGAAGACGUGGAUGUCGAUUAUGGCAGCCCCCGCACCUCUCUGAUUCAGAGGGGUUGGGUUAAAUGUGGAAGACAUUUCAGUUGAACGCAUUCAGUUGUACAACUGACGAGAUAUCCCCCUUUACCAUUUGAUGCAUGAUGUAUUUUGAGGCAACUAUUGACCAAGAUAUGAAGCUCCUUGUCAGUCAUUCAUUUUCAACCAUAUCUCUUUGUUAACCAAGAUGAAGAGGGCAGCGUUAGCAGCAUGUACAGUGUAUUUACACAGCAUAUCUUCAAGCUGUAAUUGGAUUGUGUGUAAUUUUGUAAAUAAAAUGAGUAAUAGUGCAGGAAAGGCUGGACUUAGGUGUUUAACACUCCAACAGUACACACACAGACAAACUGGGUGGCUGAACUGUCAGCCGUUGGAUGCUCCGGGAGACAUUUGAAUUCCCAGAAAUCCUGUAGUAUGUAGAUGUCCGAUGGAGUGCUACCCUGAACAAAUAGCGUGUGAUGCAAAACAUUGUUUGCUCUAUGUAGGUCAUAUAAAGUGGUGUAGCUACCAGCUAGGGUGUCUAAAUUACCAUCCUACUAUUGUAACUAUCUACAAAAGCAAGAGCUAUUUUCAAUGCAGGAGAACCCAAGUAAUUCCCUUUGUAGUGAGUGGAGCGAAGCAGGAGUGGAGGGUAGGGUAGAGGAUGAGGGUUGGCGUCAGUGAGUGCUUUGGCCCUCUUGGCUCCUCCUGACAUCUGUGUGUCAAUUAGCUGACUGGAGAGAAAACAUCCCUGCCCCCUCCACCAAACAACCCUUGGCCAGCUAGCAGCCCCAGCCUGCCAUCCGUACUGAAUGUGAAUGCAGCCUGCCUGGUGAGAGGUUGGUGGGGGAAGGGUGCUAUCUAGAACCAAAAAAGGGUUCUUUGGCUGUCCCCACAGGAGAACCCUUUGAAAAACCCCUUUUGGUUCCAGGUAGAACCCUUUCCACAGAGGGUUCUACCUGUAACCAAGAAGGGUUCUACUAUGGGGACAGCCGCAGAACCCUUUUGGAACCCUUUUUCUAUGAGUCUACAGUAGCUAACCAUGGCUCCCCAUUGACUCCUGUGUAAAAACCAAAAGGCCCUUGUGCUAGCUACCUUUCUGAAGUAACACACAAUGUAUAAACAGGAUGAACAAAUGAACCCACCCACAACAUAUAUAUACAGUCCACUCUUUCUGUUCCUCUAUUUAUUCUCUUUCUGGCUCACCUCUCUCUCUCAAAAUACUGUACAUUCACUUUGCUCAUCUUUUCCUUCUCCCCCCCCCCCCCCCCCCNNNNNNNNNNCUCUCCAGAAGUUCAGUGAGGAUCUCUGAAUGAUCCAAUGUUGACCUAAAUGACUAAUGAUGAUAAAUACAAUCCACCUGUGUGUAAUCAAGUCUCCGUAUAAAUGCACCUGCACUGUGAUAGUCUCAGAGGUCCG